rnacentral:rRNA from 1 species
GUGGGGAAUUUUGGACAAUGGGCGCAAGCCUGAUCCAGCAAUGCCGCGUGCAGGAAGAAGGCCUUCGGGUUGUAAACUGCUUUUGUACGGAACGAAACGGUCCGGGUUAAUACCCUGGGCUAAUGACGGUACCGUAAGAAUAAGCACCGGCUAACUACGUGCCAGCAGCCGCGGUAAUACGUAGGGUGCAAGCGUUAAUCGGAAUUACUGGGCGUAAAGCGUGCGCAGGCGGUUUUGUAAGACAGGCGUGAAAUCCCCGGGCUCAACCUGGGAAUUGCGCUUGUGACUGCACGGCUGGAGUGCGGCAGAGGGGGAUGGAAUUCCGCGUGUAGCAGUGAAAUGCGUAGAUAUGCGGAGGAACACCGAUGGCGAAGGCAAUCCCCUGGGCCUGCACUGACGCUCAUGCACGAAAGCGUGGGGAGCAAACAGGAUUAGAAACCCGAGUAGUCC